CCAGUGGAGCUGCUGUUAUGGG
rnacentral:miRNA from 1 species